UUCAUUUGAACACAUUCAAAAUUUACUUAUUCCCUAAUAUUAUAUUUCUUUAAAGAAUCAUAUUAUUGCUUACCUUGGCAGUUUGCUGUAUGUCUGCUUUUGCUAACUUGGACUUGACUGCCCCAAGUAAGAGAGGAGGUCAGAUCAGUUGUCUGGAUGAGCAACUGAGUGGAUAAGAGAGAAGAUUCCAGCUGAUUUGACUGACAUCACAGUGCUUCAGAAGGCUAAAAGCCCAGCAGCCAGCGUCCUCCUUGAAAAGCCUUGAGAAGUGACCCCGCUGACCUCUGGCUCUGAUCUGAAUCUGAGAUGGGUCUGCGCUGGCUCCUGCUCAAAAUUGCGGUGCAUAUGCUGGGCUGUGUAAUGGCCUGGGGGCCCUCCCCAGCUACAGGAGAACACAUGAACAAUUCAUCAUCGGCAGCUGUCCGCUAGGCCCAGGUGACUGCAUACAGCCCCCCCUUUGACAAAAAACAUGGGGGGCAGCUUUUAAUCGGACAAACACUAAUUGGAUGGCCUGGAAAGAUUAGAGGAACCCCCUGGAGCUACUGUUCUCAUCAAUAGAGGCAUCUUCACGCCUGCCUAAAACACAGACCAGAGCAAACCUCGCUCUCCAGACCUCUCAGAAAUGGAGACACCCAAUCAAACCACAAAUACUAUUAUCCAACGGUAGCUGCACGGAUCUCAGGCUGCCUGGCGGACAUCUCAGCAUGGAUGAAAGAACAUCACCUGCAGUUCAACCUGAAAUCUGGUCACUUUCAGAGCUGUGCCACUCAUUCUCUAAGCGGACGAGCGUAAUUCUUUGUUCUCGCUGCUUUGUGCUGGACUUGAGCCAAGAGCUUAAUUUAACGAUAUGAGUUUCUACGUGCGUAAUGUGGAGGGUGCUGCACAGAUGCUUGGAGUCUCACAAUAUCCACCCCACACUGAGCAGCCACUCACACAUAAUGUUUUUGUCUGAACAUAAAGCUUCCAACAGUGAGUUAAAUGGAAUAUUUAUGUCUUGGGAUCACGAAAGAAAGUCCAAAUUAGACAGGAGCUUGAGGAGUCAUUUGAUCUCUUCUAUGAUUAGCUGGUGACAAUGAUAUCAAUUGCACCCUUCAGCCCUCCUACCUGCGACCUUAAUAGGUGAAAUCUGCUGUUUUGACUGUCAUCUCACCAGUCAUCUCACCUCUACCCCUCCUCUACCCCUCCUCUUCCUCCACAUACACAUUCACAGAGGCCCUGGCGAUUUUCACCUCCACCCCAGCUCAUGCUAUCAAGCGUAGCAUGACUUCCUCUUUCUUGUGUAUGAACCACAGCUGCCAGACCUUUAUUCAGAAUAGCUAAGUUUAAUUGAUGUGAAGGACUGACAUACAGUUAGUUCAAUUGAUUCAUUAAAACAAGUCUGACAGUGUAUAUGGGUGUCCAUUUUUCAGUUGAUGAAGCAGUGAAAAUAUAUCUUUUUACACAAAUGUUCAGUAUGCAAAAACUCUGGAAAAUAUGUUUUUUUAUUAUUUAUUUAAUUAUUAUUAUUAUUAUUAUUAUUAUUAUUUUAUUUAUUUUUUUUCCAGACAGUGGGUCUUAUUCAUGAACAGCUAAAUGUUAUACUAAUAUUUCAUAUCUGUGAAAGUGUUCAUAUUUUGGUAAGAUAAUAAAUUACACCUGCUCUCAACUACGAGUAACAUCUGAAUAUUGUGUGUUCUCUUAACUAAUGGUUAACUAGUUAACCAAUAACUUAUAUUUGACAAAAAAGCCAUGGAGUCGGUUUUCCUUUUUUUUUUAUAUAGAUUACUAUUUUUGCAGCACCAGUAGUUUUUGUCAGCAAGCUUAACAUAAUUAAAUUAUUUUUCUUAGGCAUAUGGCCAAUUAGUUUAUUUUGCAUUUUUUUAGAUGGGGAC